AGCCUUCUUUGUGCUGGAAUAUGCCUGCGGGGGAUCAUUGUACAACAUCAUUUCAAAGAAAGGAAAACUACCAACUGAAACAAUCCAGUUCUACACUGCAGAGAUUAUAAUUGGCCUCCAGUUUCUGCACUCGAAUGGCAUCGUACAUCGUGAUCUGAAGCCUGAUAACAUCUUGGUGGAUAGGGGUGGACACAUUAGAAUCUGCGACUUCGGCAUUUCCGUUGAAGGACUGUUCGACAAGAAGAUCAUCUGUGGAUUAUGUGGAACCCCUGGCUAUCGGGCCCCGGAGGUCUGAAAUCUUAUUUAAUUAAUUUAAAAUGUAUUCACAGUUGUAUCAAUAUUUUAACAAGGGAUUGUUGUCAUAAAGGAUGUGCAUGUGUACUUUUUUGGAUAUGGUUUGGGAACACCGGUGGCAGAUUAUCAUGGCCCAUGGAGUAUUUAGGGGGAGCAACAGGGCGGGACUCAGAGGGAGGGUCUGGAUCAGCUCUUUCUAUAUAUUUUAAGGGGCCAAUUCAUUAACUUCGAGUGAAGGAUUCG